GAUGAACGCUGGCGGCGUGCCUAAUACAUGCAAGUCGAGCGAACGGACGAGAAGCUUGCUUCUCUGAUGUUAGCGGCGGACGGGUGAGUAACACGUGGAUAACCUACCUAUAAGACUGGGAUAACUUCGGGAAACCGGAGCUAAUACCGGAUAAUAUUUUGAACCGCAUGGUUCAAAAGUGAAAGACGGUCUUGCUGUCACUUAUAGAUGGAUCCGCGCUGCAUUAGCUAGUUGGUAAGGUAACGGCUUACCAGGGCAACGAUGCAUAGCCGACCUGAGAGGGUGAUCGGCCACACUGGAACUGAGACACGGUCCAGACUCCUACGGGAGGCAGCAGUAGGGAAUCUUCCGCAAUGGGCGAAAGCCUGACGGAGCAACGCCGCGUGAGUGAUGAAGGUCUUCGGAUCGUAAAACUCUGUUAUUAGGGAAGAACAUAUGUGUAAGUAACUGUGCACAUCUUGACGGUACCUAAUCAGAAAGCCGCGGCUAACUACGU
rnacentral:rRNA from 1 species